rnacentral:rRNA from 1 species
CCUACGGGAGGCAGCAGUGAGGAAUAUUGGUCAAUGGACGAGGGUCUGAACCAGCCAAGUAGCGUGAAGGAUGACUGCCCUAUGGGUUGUAAACUUCUUUUAUAUGGGAAUAAAAUGUUCCACGUGUGGGAUUUUGUAUGUACCAUAUGAAUAAGGAUCGGCUAACUCCGUGCCAGCAGCCGCGGUAAUACGGAGGAUCCGAGCGUUAUCCGGAUUUAUUGGGUUUAAAGGGGGCGUAGGUGGAUUGUUAAGUCAGUUGUGAAAGUUUGCGGCUCAACCGUAAAAUUGCAGUUGAAACUGGCAGUCUUGAGUACAGUAGAGGUGGGCGGAAUGCGUGGUGUAGCGGUGAAAUGCUUAGAUAUCACGAAGAACUCCGAUUGCGAAGGCAGUUCACUGGACUGCAACUGACACUGAGGCUCGAAAGUGUGGGUAUCAAACAGGAUUAGAUACCCUUGUAGUC